rnacentral:rRNA from 1 species
CACGUAGGGACCAAGCGUUGUCCGGAUUCAUUGGGCGUAAAGAGCUCGUAGGCGGCUCAGUAAGUCGGGUGUGAAACCUCCAGGCUCAACCUGGAGACGCCACCGAUACUGCUGUGGCUAGAGUCCAGUAGGGGAGUGUGGAAUUCCCGGUGUGAGCGGUGAAAUGCGCAGAUAUCGGGAGGAACACCAGCGGCGAAGGCGGGUCUCUGGGCAACAACUGACGCUGAGGCGCGAAAGCUAGGGGAGCG